rnacentral:tRNA from 1 species
GGGCCCGUAGCUCAGUUGGUAGAGCAGAGGACUUUUAAUCCUACGGUCCGGGGUUCGAGUCCCCGCGGGCUCACCA